rnacentral:rRNA from 1 species
GAUGAACGCUGGCGGCGUGCCUAACACAUGCAAGUCGAACGGAGAUUACGGACGGAAGUUUUCGGAUGGAAGACUGUAAUUCUUAGUGGCGGACGGGUGAGUAACGCGUGGGCAACCUGCCCUAUACAGGGGGAUAGCAGCUGGAAACGGCUGGUAAGACCGCAUAAGUCGGUUAAAUCGCAUGAUUUGAUCGGGAAAUGAGCAAUCAGGUAUAGGAUGGGCCCGCGUCCGAUUAGCCAGUUGGCAGGGUAAAAGCCUACCAAAGCGACGAUCGGUAGCCGGACUGAGAGGUCGGACGGCCACAUUGGGACUGAGACACGGCCCAAACUCCUACGGAAGGCAGCAGUGGGGGAUAUUGCACAAUGGAGGAAACUCUGAUGCAGCGACGCCGCGUGAGUGAAGAAGUAUUUCGGUAUGUAAAGCUCUAUCAGCAGGGAAGAUGAUGACGGUACCUGACUAAGAAGCCCCGGCUAACUACGUG